CAUGUCUGUGCUGAUCUUCGUCAGUGGUCGAGAUGUUCGGAGGAGAGGGUCUGAAGGUGCCGCUUCUUGCCCGGAGGUCGGGCUGCAACUGACUGGAGUCCUCCUCCUUCCGCUCCUACACUUCGGAUCAAAGCGGGAUCAAAGAGGUCAAAAACAGACAUGUGACAUCAUCACAACUGUCGGCUUUGCCACGUGACCCGGACUCGAACCUUGACCCACACGCACUGUGAUUUCCACUGGAAACACUUCUGUCCCCCAACAUGGCUCAUAUUAUACACUUCAGGUCGUGGCAGAUGUUCCAUCCACACUGAGUCUGGUUCUUCUUGAGGUCUCUUCCUGUUAAAAGGGAUUUUUUUUCUCUCCAUGGUCGCCGAGUGUUUGCUCAUUGUGAAAACUGUUGGUUUUCUCUAUAAUAUUAUAAGGUCUCAACCUUACUAUGUAAAGUGCUAUGUAAGUGAAUUGAGGGAGGGAUGAAGGAAAAGGUGCUGAUUCCAUACAAAUUGCCCUGCAAAGACGACCUUGGACCCCUCUAUUGCCAACUGUGAUGUUGAGUCAGGUCUCUGCCACCACACCCAGGACCAGGUGAUGGGUUCGUGAGUUAAACCCUGCAUAUUUAUCAAUGGAGGCCACACUACGGGGCCAGGUGGGAACAACAACACCAUGUUGAUCAUGUAUUUUAUAACCUUCUGCUUAUUAGAAUCUAAGCUCUGCUGCCAGGCACGUCAAUGAGCUUUCUCCGCUUCUUCAGAGAGCUCCCUCAGCCCUAGGUCUUUUAGUAGGCAUGAUGUUGAAUUACCCACAAACCCUCUUGCGCCUUCCCAGGUCCACCUCCAUUCUCUCCAUUCCAUUCUAGGGGUAGAUGAACAGUGUUCCGCCGGUACAAUCCUACUGAUGAGAGGCAUUUUGGGAGCACUAGCCAUUCCCGUAUGAAUGAGUUGGCUUCGCUUUCAUCUUUCUCGCGGCUGAUGUGGGGACUUCACACAGCUUCAGUGGCCACAUUACCCUUGGGUACAGGGUGAAGUUAAAACAACACACCUUGUACUUUCCAGGUAGCUGGCUGGAGUCGAUCUUGGCCUGGCCUACUGACAGCUGCUGAAGGACGGUAUUCCCAAUCGCCUUGUCUGAAAGGCUAGAUGUAUAUACUGCCUUCCCAGACUUCUGAUGGGCUGGCCUGCGAUGCGAGGGACGUCUUCUCCGCUGACGGUGAGGGUGGCCCUAUCAUUUUGCUCCCCUUCUUGCAAGGAAAGGCUCCUUGAUUUACAUGCCUUGAAUUUCAUUCUGGCCCAAGUGAUCAGUUCAUCCAGCCUCUUCAAGAGCCUGGACAUCCAUGGCGCAUUUUGGAGCAAGCAUGGGAUGUCAUCAACGUAGCUCGUUAGUGGGGGGAGGUUCCGGCCUGCAGGCAAGAGUCCUCUGCCCACUAUCUGCUCAAGAUGACUUCAAAGGCUGCAAUGAACAGAAUGGAGCAACCCAUUGCGAUUACCAAUUCCAUUUGCUGCCAGAUGGUAGUAGAAUUCUGUAGUUUGAAACACCUAUGCAGGUCCUGGAAGUAGCCCAUCACCAUGGCCUUGAUGUCCUCUGGGAUGUAAAAGAAAUCAAGGGCAAAUGCAAUGAGUUGGUGUGGCACUGGCCCGUACGCAUUUGCUAAAUCUAGCCACAUGACAUGGAGGUCUUUCUUCUCCCUCUUAUUGCGCUGGAUCUGUUACCAGAUCAUGCUGGUCUGUUCCACACAGCCUGGGAUCCCAAUCUUCUGGCAGCUGGUGUCGAUGUAGCCAUUCGCACUCAAGUAGGUGGUCAUUCUUUGCCGUGACUGAGAAAAAAAAUCUUACCCUCAACAUUCAGCAGAGCUAUACUCCUGAACUAGUCUAUUGUCUUGGAGUUCUGCUCUUUAGGGAUGAAGACUGCCGCUGCCCAUUGCAACUCUGAUUGAAUGAUCCGCUUGAUGUUCUCAACAGGGUUCAUUGAAUCUUCACUCUUGGGCAGUUCUUAUUCAGCUUGUAUGGGAUCAUGUUUGGCCCCGGUGCUGAUGCUGAUGUUGCCUGUCUGACUGCCUGCCUGACCUCGCUGAGUUUGGAUGGGGAUGUGUCGAAAAGUACUUAUGGGUCUGUGGACUUUGGCACAUAACCUGGUGGGCCCAGAGACUCAUUCCUCACAGGGUCGCUGUAUUGAACAUGAAUGUGUUCCUCCAGCUCUUCAUUGGAAAUCUCCAGCCUUCCACUGGUCUUCUCCUCGAGGAUUGGUGGGCGCAAAGUGGAAGGGGUCGGUCUCGAAGAAGUUAGCCCUCUCCUUCUCCUUUCUUUUCCUCAGCCACCGGAUGCGCUGUCCUCCGCAGGUUAGCCAGAUCCAAAGAACAAGUGGCAGCCGCCCACAGCACCAUGGAGGUUCGUCUGAACAGAAUUCUGGAGGAGCGUUGGAGAGGUUAAAGACUCAGCUGAGCAAAAUUAAACAUGAAUAAGGACAAGAAAAACAAACAGAAAGCAUCACUCAUUGUGGGUUUCAACAAGCAGCUCAGGCUGAUUGACAUUCUCAAAAGACACAAGAUGCAAUUUGAACCUGCCAUGCUGCUGUCGUUCAUGAAAGCUCUAGACUGGGGGAAGUCAUGAACUCAGAGAUUCAGCAUUUAUUUUUUUAGGAAUAAAGAUAUGCAGAUUUCAGUUUUGACUCCAAUUCUCGAAGCUCCAAGCUGAAAAGGUUUAAAGAGACCAAAGAGAGAGUUGAAGAGACCAAAGCAGUAAAAGACUAUACAUGUACAUUGAUGCGGGCGAGCUCUUUGGCCAUUCUCUCCUCUUGUUCAAUUUGCUUUUCCCUGUAUAUUCUGUCCUCCUCCUCCUGCAGAUCAGAUGCGUAUCCAUAGGUAAUUGUAACUCUGCCUCAUCAAUAGUAAAGACGGGUGUUCCUCGAGGAUCAAUGUUAGGACCUGUCUCAUUUUCUGUUCAUAUAAAUAAUCUCGGUAUAGGUUUAGAUCAGGCAAAGGUUCACCUAUACACGGAUGAUGCAAUCAUUUAUACUACUGCACCAUCACUGCCAGUAUCAAUGGACUCUUUACUGCAGCGGUCAAGGUAUUAGAUGCCGAAAAUACAAAUGAUUACAUGUAAAUUCGCAACUAACAGUGACGGUGUGACGUGGGCUCACCUUCAGCAGGGCGCUCUCCAUCUGCCUCUCCUCCCGCUCCUCCCGCACGUGGCGCGCCUGCCUCCUCCUCUCGGUGCCCUCCUCGUCCCGCACGAUGGCCUGCAGCCGCCGCUCCGUGUGCACGCGCUUGGCCUCCUGCUGCC